rnacentral:rRNA from 2 species
GCGAAGCUCCUGAUCGAAGCCCCAGUAAACGGCGGCCGUAACUAUAACGGUCCUAAGGUAGCGAAAUUCCUUGUCGGGUAAGUUCCGACCUGCACGAAUGGCGUAAUGAUGGCCAGGCUGUCUCCACCCGAGACUCAGUGAAAUUGAACUCGCUGUGAAGAUGCAGUGUACCCGCGGCAAGACGGAAAGACCCCGUGAACCUUUACUAUAGCUUGACACUGAACAUUGAGCCUUGAUGUGUAGGAUAGGUGGGAGGCUUUGAAGUGUGGACGCCAGUCUGCAUGGAGCCAACCUUGAAAUACCACCCUUUAACGUUUGAUGUUCUAACCUAGGCCCAUAAACUGGGUCGGGGACCGUGUCUGGUGGGUAGUUUGACUGGGGCGGUCUCCUCCUAAAGAGUAACGGAGGAGCACGAAGGUUGGCUAAGCAUGGUCGGACAUCAUGCGGUUAGUGCAAAGGCAUAAGCCAGCUUGACUGCGAGAGUGACGGCUCGAGCAGGUACGAAAGUAGGUCUUAGUGAUCCGGUGGUUCUGAAUGGAAGGGCCAUCGCUCAACGGAUAAAAGGUACUCCGGGGAUAACAGGCUGAUACCGCCCAAGAGUUCAUAUCGACGGCGGUGUUUGGCACCUCGAUGUCGGCUCAUCACAUCCUGGGGCUGAAGUAGGUCCCAAGGGUAUGGCUGUUCGCCAUUUAAAGUGGUACGCGAGCUGGGUUUAGAACGUCGUGAGACAGUUCGGUCCCUAUCUGCCGUGGGCGUUGGAAGAUUGAGAGGGGUUGCUCCUAGUACGAGAGGACCGGAGUGAACGCACCACUGGUGUUCGGGUUGUCAUGCCAAUGGCAUUGCCCGGUAGCUAAGUGCGGAAGAGAUAACCGCUGAAAGCAUCUAAGCGGGAAACUUGCCUCGAGAUGAGUCUUCCCUGUCGCUUUAAGCGACCUAAAGGAACGUUUAAGACUAAGACGUUGAUAGGCUGGGUGUGUAAGCGUAGCGAUACGUUGAGCUAACCAGUACUAAUGAACCGUGAGGCUUAACCUGACAACACCGAAAGUGUUUUG